GACGGUGGUGUAAUGGAUAGCACAUCAGGCUCAUUAUCUGAAAAUGGAGGUUCGAAUCCUUCCCGUGUCUUUGCCGUGUC
rnacentral:tRNA from 1 species